AGAUGUAUUUGUUAUUUUAUAGCGGCCUUCCAGAUAAACCCCCCACCCCAAACUCCCAUCCGUCCUGACCAUUGGGAGUUGGAUGUCCAAAAGAAGCUGGAGGGUCUCAAGUUGACAGGUUGCUUCAGGCAUUGCAGAAUCUUUCAGUUCCAGGCAAUGGGUUCAUAGGCAACUUCUUCAGUGAAACUUGCUUGUAAAAGCUGACCAGGCUUCUGUGGCACCGAGUUCAUGUGUUUAAACCAUUCAUUGAAGGCUUCAUGGGCUUCCUAAAUUGGGUUGGAAAUGUUUAGUCAUUUUCAUGUAGGCAAUGGUGACGUUGUUCUGUCUCCGUGACAUCUUCCAAGAACGCAGCAUACUGAGCAAUAGCUACAUCCUGAG